GGUAGGUACUCGAGUGGCGAACGGGUGAGUAACACGUGGGUGAUCUGCCCUGCACUCUGGGAUAAGCCUGGGAAACUGGGUCUAAUACCGGAUAGGACCAUGCUUUAGUGUGUGUGGUGGAAAGUUUUUCGGUGUAGGAUGAGCCCGCGGCCUAUCAGCUUGUUGGUGGGGUAAUGGCCUACCAAGGCGGCGACGGGUAGCCGGACUGAGAGGUUGGUCGGCCACAUUGGGACUGAGAUACGGCCCAG
rnacentral:rRNA from 1 species